AGCCCCAAUAUACCUCCCACUCCCCUGCUAUGGCCUUGCUCCGCAAGCUGUGGAGGGGCCAGCGGAGCCAGCCAGGCAGCGAGAGAGAACGAAAGACGCCCAGCUCGUUGCAGCCGCCAACCCGCCUCAGCCGCCAGUCCCUAGUCCUCAGGAGCUAGUGAGGCGCUGCAAGGCGAGGCUGGGGCCUCUAGAACACAGUUUAAGGGGUGCGCGCGGAAGUGGGAACCAGCCGGUGGCCGCUGCCCGGCGCCAGAACGUCUACCAUUCAGCCCGGGCGUGCGCGGGGCGGGGAAGAGGCUGGAGUAGAGAAGCGAGCGCCCGCGAGUGCGUGGCCGGUCCGCGAGCGCGUGUGGUGUCUGCCUUGUGAGCACUGCGGGUUCGCUGGACCCCGCGGCCAGGGCCGCGCCCCGCACCGCAGCUGUCGGAUUACCCACCGUUCGGUUUUCCGCUGUGGCUGAACACAGCGGCUCUGCCCUUGCCAGUCUCCAUCUCACCUCGGGGAUCGGCAAAUGCACACAUCAUGGAUUCUCCGGAUGCUCCAACCCGCGGACUCCAAUGGGCGCCCCAAGACGCCCCCAGACCCAGCGCGGCGCCCCAAGCACAUGGGACCCUCUCAAGGCAACUCGCCGCGCAGUCAGCGGCCGACUAGCAGACCCAGAGCAGCGAGGUCACGGUGUCCGCGGCCUCAGCAGGAAGGACCCCGCGAUGGUUCUUCACAAUUCACCCCCGCGAACAACGCACCCGAGCCUGCGCGCACGGAGGGCUGCCGCGCGUGGAACUGAGCGGGUCCUGGGUCUGGGCUUUCCCUGUCGGCCGCCCGGCAUCGCCUGCGUUGGUCCCGCGCUCAGUAGCGGAGACUGCGCUGGGAAGAGCGAGAUCUCCGUGGGAUCGUGCCAGAUUCGGCCAUUCUUCCCCUCUGGAGGGAACGGGACUGCGGGAUGCUCUGGUCGAGCGGCCGUCGUGGCUCCCCGGCGGCCCC
rnacentral:lncRNA from 1 species